GACGAACGCUGGCGGCGUGCUUAACACAUGCAAGUCGAACGGUAAGGCCCUUCGGAGUACACGAGUGGCGAACGGGUGAGUAACACGUGGGUGAUCUGCCCUGCACUUCGGGAUAAGCCUGGGAAACUGGGUCUAAUACCGGAUAGGACCACUGCCUGCAUGGGUGGUGGUGGAAAGCUUUUGCGGUGUGGGAUGGGCCCGCGGCCUAUCAGCUUGUUGGUGGGGUGAUGGCCUACCAAGGCGACGACGGGUAGCCGGCCUGAGAGGGUGACCGGCCACACUGGGACUGAGAUACGGCCCAGACUCCUACGGGAGGCAGCAGUGGGGAAUAUUGCACAAUGGGCGCAAGCCUGAUGCAGCGACGCCGCGUGAGGGAUGACGGCCCUCGGGUUGUAAACCUCUUUCAGCACCGACGAAGCGCAAGUGACGGUAGGUGCAGAAGAAGGACCGGCCAACUACGUGCCAGCCGCCGCCGUAA
rnacentral:rRNA from 1 species